ACUUCGUAUAUUAAGAGAACAUAUUGAGUACCCUCUCUGGAAGCUAAAUAUUUGCAUGUGCUUGACAAUUUUUUCAGGAAUAUAUACGAGAUGGCAUUGACUGGGCUAAAGUUGAAUUAUACCUGUACCCUUCCUUGGAUGCUGUCAUUUCGGUUCAAACUGAUUUACGGAAGGCACACUUCCAUUAGCAAUGGAUUCACUCUUCUCCUUAUCUCUCCAUGUGGAUAAUGAUGUCUUAUGCUUGAUUGUGUUGUGUUUAUUAGGGUUUCAUUUCGAUUACAUUUCAAAUUUGUUGUUUUGUAUUUGAUUUAGGUUUGAAAUUGAUAUUGUUAACUUAUAAUUUUUAUUUCAGAUCUUUCUCUCUUUGAAUGCUGCAAUUUAAGAUUUGGAUUUGUGGGAGAUGGUGAUUCCGGUGUUGUGUUGCAGGUUUUGGAUGCAUGUGUCGAUCAUAAGAUGCGUUCAGUCUCUCAUACAAUACUUUCUUGAUUCUUCACUCUACUCCACCCUCACAACAUCGAUUCUCAGAAUUGAAGGGAAUAUGAAGAACACCUCUGUCCAAGCAUAGUUGCCUAUGCUACAGUCCCCGGAAAAGAAGCAGGUAGCUUGUACCAUCCACUUCACAAGUGACAAGAAGAACCAAAUUAACACCAUCUUCUUUUAAUGUGACAAAGUAAUGUGAGAAAGUCUUGAUUUGAUCAUUUAUGUGAAUGACAACUUCAAAGGCCAUCUCUGUUUCUUAAUUGAACACCAAGGUGGACAUGUGCUUCAAUGUUAAAAAUGCAUAUUGGCUAAGUGACGGGU